AUGGACAAAGAAGUGUCUGUCCUGGGUGGAAAGGGGCAGACAAAACCAACCAAACCCUCAGUUCAUCUCGAAUCUGAACUGGGCCUGGAGAACCAGCNCAUUGGUGUAGGCGCUGAGUUGACAACACAUGUUAACAGUCAGAAAUGCUCCACUGAGGAAGAUGCUGAACCUGUAGUUCUACCUGAGCACUUAUCAGAAUUACCUGAAAUGAAAAGGACUCAAAAUCCNGAGCAGAAUUUAGUCAGAGAGGACCAGAGCAAUAUAGAGGAGCCACAAUCAAAUCACUCAGCUCAGGAAGACAAUAAAGUGAUUCUUUCUAUAAAUAGUUUGUGGGACCCAGUUCUUCAUGCUACAAAAUCUGUUCAGGACAGUCACUACAAAAGCACUGAUGCUUCAGAUUCAGACGAUACAGUAAUAUUUGUCAGUAUUGGCAAAAUCCACAGUGNAGGAAACUUGGACAGCAUAGCAUCCUCUGAAGGUCAUUCUCUGGAUAUUUCCAGCAAGGGAGUUUCUCGGAAUCCUGAGCCUGAUUAUAUCCACCUUUGCUCAGAACUGUGCCCCUCUGAGUUAAGUGGCAUUGCAGACUUAGAGCACAGUCCUUUACUAGACUACUCGCAUGUAAGACCCACUGAGAUCAGUGAAGUUUACUCACAGGUAAGUGGCUGUAAAAUUACAGCCUUAGUUAGCAAGGACCAGAAUGUUUUGGGGGAGCAGCUGGCCAACAACUCAGGAAAUGAAAANCAACAGGAGAUAGCCAUUCUUUUUGGAAAUAGUCUGCAAGGGCCUUCAAACGAUAACCUUCCCCUAGAUGCUCAGCCAGGAGCAGAGGCCCAGUCUGUGUGUUUCUGUGGGGGAGAUCAAACUGAAACUCCACACUGCAGUGCUGGUCAGACAACCAGCCAUGAAGAAGAGCUACCUAAGUCCCCCAGGUGCAGAAGAGUGCUGAGUCAGAGUUCACAAUCCGUGAGUCAGCAAAACUGUGAUUCUGUGAAGAAUUUCAGGAGCGCACCAUUUUUAAGACAGAAGAAAUACGACAGAAGAAAAUAUUUCACUAGCAGAAACAUCUCCGUCAGAUCUGUNCUUAGGGCUCGUUGGAGAAGUCACCACAGCUGGAGACCUCUGAAGCGUUUAGAUUGGGAAGACCAACGCUGCUACCAAGGCACUGGAUGCAGGCUUCAUAAACCAGGAAAAAACCAAAAGGAACUUUCAAAAUGGGAUGCCUUAAAACUCACAGCUCAGCCUCCUGAAAUGCUGCAUCUUACGGAGACUGUCGGAAUGUCGUCAGGAGAUGAAUCCUCCUUGUUGAACCAGGAAGGACACAAACCUCAGCCCAGUUCAUCUCCUCUCCCUCUAGACUCCAUGACUGCUGAGCCGACUCUGGCACAGUUCAUGUCUGUUUUACAACAAGUAGCUACAGACACGGUAGAAAUCAAGUCCGCCAUUUCGGGCCUGUNUGCCACCUUAACUGGCAUCCAGAAUGCCCUUGGGAGCCUGUCUGGAUGUUCCGAUGAGGCUGAACAUAGAAUUUCCAGUUUGGAGGAUACCUCUCGCAACACNAAGGCCCAGCUUGUUCAGCACUGCAAUGACAUUAAGGCCAUUGAGGCCAAAUUGAUUGGGAAAUCUGUUCAGACCAAUGUCAUAGCAGGAUUGUGGUCGUCGCUGAAGGUCAGAAGAGGGGCAAGUCCCCCAAAUCUGUCUCCCAACUCCUGA
ensembl:lncRNA